GUCCAGAGUAGUUUGUAGUGGACAUGGCAUCUUCCCGGUAAGCGGAACACUGUGGGUUCGAUUCCCAUCCUGGACA